rnacentral:rRNA from 1 species
UCCCCUACGGGCGGCUGCAGUGGGGAAUAUUGCACAAUGGGCGCAAGCCUGAUGCAGCGACGCCGCGUGAGGGAUGACGGCCUUCGGGUUGUAAACCUCUUUCAGCAGGGAAGAAGCGAAAGUGACGGUACCUGCAGAAGAAGCGCCGGCUAACUACGUGCCAGCAGCCGCGGUAAUACGUAGGGCGCAAGCGUUGUCCGGAAUUAUUGGGCGUAAAGAGCUCGUAGGCGGUCUGUCGCGUCUGCUGUGAAAACCCGAGGCUCAACCUCGGGCCUGCAGUGGGUACGGGCAGACUAGAGUGCGGUAGGGGAGACUGGAAUUCCUGGUGUAGCGGUGGAAUGCGCAGAUAUCAGGAGGAACACCGAUGGCGAAGGCAGGUCUCUGGGCCGCAACUGACGCUGAGGAGCGAAAGCGUGGGGAGCGAACAGGAUUAGAUACCCUAGUAGUC